rnacentral:rRNA from 1 species
UACGGGGGGAGCAAGCGUUGUUCGGAUUUACUGGGCGUAAAGGGCGCGUAGGCGGUCAGCACAAGUCAGUUGUGAAAUCUCCGGGCUUAACUCGGAAAGGUCAACUGAUACUGUGCGACUAGAGUACGGAAGAGGCGAGUGGAAUUCCUGGUGUAGCGGUGGAAUGCGCAGAUAUCAGGAGGAACACCAAUAGCGAAGGCAGCUCGCUGGGACGUUACUGACACUGAGGCGCGAAAGCGUGGGGAGCGAACAGG